rnacentral:tRNA from 1 species
ACCUGGGUGGCUCAGUUGGUUGAGUGUCUGACUUCAGCUCAGGUCAUGAUCUCAUGGCUCCUGGGUUCGAGCCCCGCCUUGGGCU